rnacentral:pre_miRNA from 1 species
CAUGUGUUCCCUCCGUUCAAUAAAAAAUGUCUCAAGUUUAUUAAAAUUUAAAUAUAUCUAGAUGUGAUUUAGUGUAUAUAUGUACUCAAAUUUAAGUCAAAAUUAAGACAUCUUUUGUUGGACGGAGGGAGUAAAUU